rnacentral:tRNA from 1 species
GGUCAAUUAACUCAGUGGUAGAGUGCUACCUUCACACGGUAGAAGUCACUAGUUCGAAUCUAGUAUUGACCA